rnacentral:tRNA from 1 species
CGGCCCGUGGCGGAACGGCAGACGCGCACGGCUUAGGACCGUGUUCCCUAACAGGAGUGUAGGUUCGAAUCCUACCGGGCCGA